rnacentral:sRNA from 1 species
UUUUUUUUUAGUUUUGUU